GGGGGGGGGGGGGGGGGGAGGGAGAAAUCAAAUAAAUAAAUAACCUCCGCACCAAUAAGAGAGGCAGCGGCUGCCGAGCAGUCUGGGAUCUGAUGGGAGAGGUCCUUCCUGGGCUGUAUUUGUUUGUUUGUGACUGGAGCUGCAAAGUUCAGAGCCAAACGUGUUGCUUUCCGGCGGCGGCGACCUCCCCGCUUCACCUGCUCCUCUGACGGGUGCCAGCCCGGGUCGGCCCCGCCGCUCUGCGGGCCCUCAGCCCGGCAUCCUGCCCGCCGCUGGGGCCGACGGACGGGAAAAAGAGCGCGGGGCUGUGUCUCUCUCCUUUCCCUCCACGGCUGCCGGAGGGACAGCGGACAGGUCCUCCAAGGGUUUGCCUUGCGGGGAGCCUGUGCCCGGCGGCAGCUUGCGAGAGCCCGGCAGCAGCCCCCAGAGGCACGUCUCCUCCUAGGAGGGAGAGAAACUUGCUGAUCCGGAGGAGGGACGGAUACGGCGCUUUCCCUUCGUUGCGCGGAAGGUGCGCGCUGGGGCGCCGGGUGGCUUUGACCGCCCCGCGGUGGCGGCCCCCCGGGGAAGGAGGAAGCGAGCGGGGCGCUGCGGGGCGCGGGCGCCCGGCAGGUGGAGCCGUGGGGAGCGGUGGCGGUGAUUUAUUUCGGCUUAAGCAGCGUUGCGAGCAGAGCCCCGUAGGCGCGGUGCGAAGUGGCCCGGUGCCCCUGAGCCCACACCUCGGCGGCCGGAAUGGGUCCGGGAUGGGUGGAUGCGGCGGGCAGUGCGCGGAGUGCGCCGGGCGGUGCGCGCCUUCCUGCGGCGGCUACAGCUGAAGACGGUGUCCUACGUCGUUAACGUUACCACUGGUCACACGCGUAUUUUAUCGACCAUUGAUCGUCUUUCUGUUUGUCACUGUGUGCUGGAAAUGAUGAGAUUCUAGGCGUAGUCUGUCUUAAUUAGCACAGAAUGUAUAAAAGCGUAAUUGCUAAAAUUAUUCAAUAGUGGUUAACAAUUAAAAGAUUAUCCCAGUACUCAGCAGCUAGCAAAGAGCAGACUGCACUAAUUGGAUAGUUAAUGACAUUUAAAUAGGCAGUCUUUCUUAAAAUAGUAAGCUCCACUCUUCCAGGGAAUUGAAUAGAGUGUUAGAAUAUUUAAUAAUUACAUUACAAUGAUGGUAACACUUCUGAAAGGUGUGUGGUUUGAGUUGUUAGUUGGGUAGCAGCACUGGGACAGCCUUUGCCCAGUUUUAGAGCACUGGUUAAGGGAAGACUGUAUUUUCCUCAAUUUUCCUUUGAUAGGUAAAUAUAGCUAAAUGCUGCAGAAAUUUGUGUGAAACCGAAGUGAAGGGGAGACAAUAUUUUGCAUAUUGUCCAGCGAAAUGUUCUUCCAUCUUCUACUGAUAUUAUUUGACUGAAUUGAUAAUUGAACUUGAGUUUUAUGCUACUAACCACCUAAUAUUUGAAUUUAAUGUCUCUUUAUGCCACUUAAACUGAUUGAAAAUAUUUACUGUUUAAUAUUGUGGAGACAGGAUAUCAGGUGGUGUAACUACACUCCUCUUGUCAUCCUUCAAUAACUAAACAGCUAAGGUAGUUGGGUUUUUUUGUAGUAAUAACUUUCUAGUGUAAACAGUGGACUUCAGUAACGAAAUGAUAAAUAAAUCAGCUUCUGUAGAGUUAAACUUUAUUUUCAAAACUCUUGGUUCUCCACAUUCCUCAUGUUUCUUACCUAACUUGAAAAUGUUUGAUGAGAAACUAAUGCAGUAACUUCAUAAACUUGUUGUAUUUUGUUGUAAAAGUUUUAGUAUAAUAAAGUUGGCAUAACAAGAGGCAACACAAUGUAAUCUUCUGCUUGUGAUAUAUUUUUCCAGAGACAAAAUGUUUCCCACUAUUUUAGUCAAAGACAUACUUAAGGAAAAUGCCAGAAAUUGAAUUAAAUAAGAGAUUACCUUCACAAAUUAAAUAGAAUAUUCUAUUUUAAGAACUACUGCAUAGAAUAACAUAUAAUUAAAAUUGUAAAGAAUGUAUGGGCUUUUAUAUACAUAUGCUUUAUGUAGUCUUAAGUUUUGUCACCAACAUAGUUUUGUGCUCCUUUGAGGGAUAAAUGAAGCGCUGGUCUAAAUACUAAAAGAGCUUGGAGUGUGUGUCUCCCAGGUUGGUGAAAAUGGUGAGCUUCACAAAAGUUAUAUUCGCAACUGUGAAACUAGUCUGUUUUCUUCUUGUAUUGGAUGCUGUAGUUGUCCCUAGGAAAUCCUUUUGUGUUGUAUCCCAACUUUGCUCUUUUCACUAUUAUAGAUACAUUUGUCAGACACUUCCUUUAUCCUUGCAUGCCAGGGUAUUCAAAUAUUUCUUACGAGCAUUGCUGCUGACUUCUGAAGUGAAUUCCAUUCUAUGCUGUCCAAAUGAGGGUUUCUAAAAAUUCAGAAUAAUAGAACUUUUGGAUUUUUCCUCAGUUUCUGUAAAAAUGUUAGCAUUAAAUGGUAUUUAAUGUUAACACUGCACUUCCUCCAGAACAAAAGUAUGACUUUCCACACAGCUGAUAAAUUGGUAGCUGAAUGUAUUAUCAGAGAUUUACAAAACACUGAUGUCUUGACAUCUGGAUUUGUUGUGUGUCUUUAAUAAAACAUGGACUGUGAGAAAA